GCAUUUGUAGUCCAAUGUAUGGGAUAAUUGCCUUCCAAGCAAUAGACUUGGGUUUGAUUCUUGGCAAGCGCA
rnacentral:tRNA from 1 species